rnacentral:lncRNA from 1 species
GCUGAGGGAAGAUGAUUAACGCUAGCCUCACACAGCCUGCUUAGGCCCAAGAUGAUUCAUUUUCAGCCAAUAUUGUGGGCAGCCUGGAUAUGGCUAAAGAGCGUGAGACCCACAGGGUGCCGAGCAAAGUUUGCUGAAUGUAUUUGGAGGGAAUGGCCAUGGGACGCAAAAGCUCCUUCAUUCCUGUACUCAUUUAUUCCUUCACCAGCUCACCACUUCCUGGGCACAGGUGAUGUGUAGAGGGUGAGCCGGGGUAGGG